AACGAACGCUGGCGGCAUGCCUAACACAUGCAAGUCGAACGAGACCUUCGGGUCUAGUGGCGCACGGGUGCGUAACGCGUGGGAACCUGCCCUUAGGUUCGGAAUAACUCCCCGAAAGGGGUGCUAAUACCGGAUAAUGUCUUCGGACCAAAGAUUUAUCGCCUUUGGAUGGGCCCGCGUUGGAUUAGCUAGUUGGUAGGGUAAAAGCCUACCAAGGCGACGAUCCAUAGCUGGUCUGAGAGGAUGAUCAGCCACACUGGGACUGAGACACGGCCCAGACUCCUACGGGAGGGAGCAGUGGGGAAUAUUGGACGAUGGGCGAAAGCCUGAUCCAGCAAUGCCGCGUGAGUGAUGAAGGCCUUAGGGUUGUAAAGCUCUUUUACCCGGGAUGAUAAUGACAGUACCGGGAGAAUAAGCACCGGCUAACUCCGUG
rnacentral:rRNA from 1 species